UACGCAGGGGGCUAGCGUUGCUCGGAAUCACUGGGCGUAAAGCGCACGUAGGCGGAUCUUUAAGUCAGGGGUGAAAUCCUGGAGCUCAACUCCAGAACUGCCUUUGAUACUGGGGAUCUCGAGUCCGGGAGAGGUGAGUGGAACUGCGAGUGUAGAGGUGAAAUUCGUAGAUAUUCGCAAGAACACCAGUGGCGAAGGCGGCUCACUGGCCCGGUACUGACGCUGAGGUGCGAAAGCGUGGGGAGCAAGCAGG
rnacentral:rRNA from 1 species